AAGAGAGAGAGUGAACAGGAAAGAGGGAAAUCAGUGGAUCCUGAGGAAGGUGGAAUAGGUGGGGAGAGCAGAAUAAAGAGAGAGAGGUGAAGAAGGUCACACAAAAGCCAGCUUGAACAAGUGAGUCUUCAGCUGCUUUUUAAAGGAGACCACUGAGUCCACUGAUCUCAGGCUCAGGGGGAGAGAGCUCCAGAGUCUGGGGGCCACAGCAGCAAAUGAUCUGUUACCUUUGACCUUUAGCCUGGUGCUGCACAACCAGUAGGCUUUGAUCACUGGACCUCAGGGACCUGCUGGGGGUGUAGGGACUAAGAAGAUCACCAAUGUAAGAUGGUGCUUGUCCAUGUAAGGCCCUAUAGACCAGAACCAGGAUCUUGAAAUGAACCCUGAAGUUGACUGGCAGCCAGUGAAGCUGGAGGAGAAGCGGGGUGAUGUGGGUGUGUUUGGAAAACAAGAAGAAACAUCUUCUCAGUGGCCUAGUGGUAAUGUCCAACCUGGGAUUGGGAGAUCGGGGUUCAAAUCCGGGUCGGGUCUUACCAAAGACUGUAAAAAUGGGACCCAACACCUCCCUGCUUGACACUCAGCUGUAAGCGGUUGGAUUGGGGGGUUAACCCACCACAGCUUCAGCGCACCGCUCCCCACGGGGAAGGGUCAGAUGUGGAGAUGGAUGUCACCAGUGUGUGAUGACCAUGAGACUUUAAAUAUCUGAGCACCAGUUUAUGCUAUAAGAGUCCACCUGAUUUCCUCGUAGAUGAAAGUCUUUAUUCAGGUAACCGGAGGUCUCGGACACGCCUGCCUGAAGUGACUCGAACCGUUAAUCUGUGGCAGAUUUUUAAGUAGUUUCAUUUUUAUUUUCUCUGGUAAAUUCGUUCUUCAGAAAUCUUUCCUCUCGUACCUCAGACUCAGAUUUGAAUCAGGGACUGAUGUCAGAACAAGGGUUUAUCUUAAUGAGACACGUGACCUUUGACCUCUCAUCACUCCCUGAAAGCAGCACCGACCCAAAGUUUGGUUCUGAAUCAGACUGGAGGUCUGUGAGUUCUCAGGAUCCGUGUUUGUUUGCAGGAAGUCGGUGACCGGCACUAAAGACCGCCUUGGAGAUGCUAACCAGAUAAUUUAUGAGUCCACGUCCAACAAAGAGACUCUUUACUCUUUAGGACAUAAAAGCAUCUCAGAUUAAAUGUUUUCACUCGACGGAGAAUCAUUCACAUUCACGAGACGAUGCAGGAAUCUGAUUCGCUGAGAUGAUUUUAUAUUAAAUCCUCUGGGUCUGAAUCUCCAUCUUCCUCAUAAACCAGGAGGCUCUGCUGGGGAGGUUUCAUUUAAGAUGUGGGGUGUGGCAGCCGGGUGGGGUUUACCUGCUGCCAUGACCUCAGCAGUGUGUUGGUGUCCGGGUGGUCCGAUGGUGGGAGGUCUGUUGUCUCUUUAGUGUCCCGCCCACAUUUCUGCCAGCUGAUUGGACAGCAGGCUGCAGUAACCUAGCAACCCUCAGAUGUCUCCCAUCAUUCCUCCGAGUCCUCUCUGGUUCCGGAGGACUGGGAGGCAGAUCUGCUGAUCGAAGCUUCGGCAUCAAACAAACUCCCACUCGGCCAGCAGGAAAACAUCCUCAUGUAUGUGAGAUAAAUGUGCAGCUGAUGAUGUACCGUUACCUUGGUUACCCAAGAGAUGAUGCUCACUGCAGGAGGAUUUAGGAAGGAAAGCGGUCUGCGGAAACGUUUGAUCUGACCUUUGACCUUCAGCUUCAUUCUCAACAUGUAAGUUUGUUUAAUAGGUGCUGACUGGGUCGAUGCGCCCAGAACAGGCCCCUCCCACCAUGCUGCCCUCCUCCCUCUGAGGAACCAGUCAGCCGACAGGAUGAUGCCAAAGCAGCUGGCCCAGACGUCUCCAGGGAGCGUGUUGUCCCUGCGAGGGACCGGCGUUCCUGGAUCCCCCAGCGCUGCGAUCGUGGCUCGAGUGGAGGACGGUGUCAUUGGCUACAAGGACCUGGCGGCACUGCCCAGAGACAAAGCCAUCCUGGACAUCGAGAGGCCGGAUCUGAUGAUCUACCAGCCACACUAUAGCUACAGCCCGCUGGAGAGGUCCUUGUCUCCUCGCUCCAUCUCUCCUCCUCCCUCCCCAGAGAACUCGUCCAAGGAGUCUCGGGAGUGGCCGGAGAACCGGUCACCUGGAGGUUCUUCGCCUUGUUCCACGACCCAGAGCAGCAGAACACAGAGCUCACACACGCCGCCACCACCACACACACCCAACACACACUCCUCUGGAACCAAGAGCCCCAUGCAGCACUUCCACCGACCCGAAAACGGCUCAAACAUCUAUAAGAAACCUCCGAUCUACAAACAAGAUGUUUCGUCCUCUGCCGUCCCUCAGGGGAAACACAUUGAGGAUCUGAUCAUCGAGUCCUCCAAGUUCCCUGCCGCUCAUCCUCCAGAUCCUAACCAACCUUCAAAGAUCGAGACCGACUACUGGCCCUGCCCCCCCUCUCUGGCUGUAAUUGAGAGUGAGUGUAAGAAGAAGGAGCAGAGGGACGAGGAGGAGGAGGAAGAUGAUGAGCUGUGGGGUCUCAGAACUCUUCAGAGACAAGAACUGAACAAGAUUCAGUCCAAUCUGGGUAAAAUCAUCCUAAAAGAGGAGUUGGGGAAGUCCGCAACUCCUCUAAGAAGGAAAACUCGGUCUCUGCCGGACCGAAACCACAGUGCUGGCACCAACACCUCCAGGUCUGUUUAUUUCCCAGCAUCCUCUAAGAGCGGCCUGUCCAGGAGUUCAGGAUCAGAGCAGGCUUCAGCUCUGGAGAUUCGGCUCGAACCAGGUGUGUCGGAGCAGCAGGAUCUGGGUAAAACAUGCUGGUUAGGAGGUUGGACACACCUGGGCCAGAGUCUGAUGAAGACGAUGAUGAAGGUUUCUGUUUGUUUCCAGCUUCAGUCCACAGAGUUCAGCUCCUCCAAGAUGAGUCAGUCAGCUCUUCAGGUAAAACAUCUCCUUGUUUUGCUCCCAGAUCUGAUCCACAGGAUUCCUAGUUGGACAGUUAUAACGCUUGUUUUGUUUGUUUGUUUGUUUGUUUGGACCAGAACGGAGACUCCAGGAUGGACAGAGGAAACUCGCUGCCCAGCAUGUUGGAUCGUAAGAUUUUUCCCUACGAGAUGCUGGUGGUGACCCACAGAGGAAGACUCAAACUUCCUCCUGGAGUGGACCGAACCAGACUGGAGAGACAUCUCUCUCAGGAGGAGUUCUUCAGCGUGUUUGGGAUGUCCAUUGAGGACUACGACAGCCUGUCCCUCUGGAAGAGGAAUGAGCUGAAGAAGAAGGUCUGUCUCUUCUGAUGCCCUUGGGACUACACGUCCCAGAAUCCCCUGCUCUCCCCGUGCCGGCCGGCGGGGAACCAAACAGACUCGGGUGCCAGCGGCGCCGUGGACUCUUGGGUUUGCUGAGAAGUGCUUUUGGAGUUCUGCUGCAGCAGGGUGAACGUUUAGAGCUCCAGAAUCCCAACCAGCCUGGAGCGGGAAGAGGUCGUAGGUGUGACGUGAGCUUUUAUUCUUCCUGCUCUGACAAAAGGAAUCACAUUCCCUCUGACCCUGAGUCAGUUUUCCAGACCAGCCUCUGAUAAGGAGCCCUCCUAUUGGCUCAGCCAGCGAUGAUGUCACGCUGACAGCAUUUCAAUUCCAGCAAAGAAGGAAACAAGGAGUCUGUUUGAUCGCAGGCUGAGUCCAGACCCGUCCCGGUCGAACACACCCGAUCCAAAAGAACCAAAUCAGCUCUGAGUUCUGCAGAGUUCUGGUAACGACCCGUUCAAUUAAACCAGGUGUGCUAGAGCAGGUAAACAUCUAAAACAGGAGCAGAACCUCUGGUCCCAAAGCUGCCGGUCCAAACUCUAAACCUCUGAUUUAUUUAAUAUGAUGAAAGAAAAGGAAAAAUCAUUUCAAAUGUUUUUAUUUAGGAUUUAAAAAAGGAAUCAAAACAGAAUAAUAUGAAACUGGAUCCGGAUGUUUAAGUGAAAAGAUAAUUUUUUUUUUGAAUAUUUUAAAAAUGAGAAGUUAAUCAAAAGUUAACAAACAUCUCACAUUCACGGGCAAUUGGAGGUUAAAUCAUGAAAUUUAAAAACUAGAUUUUGUUUUCUACCGUAAUCAUGUUUAACAAAACUAUUUAGAAUCAGGAGAAAAUCAAACAUCAAACAGUUUGAAUGGUUAAUAAUUCUAAAAUGUUCCUAAACUAAAAUUUCCUUCAUUUUAAUAAAGUAAAGCUAAUUAUUUUUGAGCUAACGUCCCCUCUGAGUCUCAGUGGAGAAAAUGUUGUCACAAAGUCAAAUAAAUCCAAACUUUAUUCCCAGGGGCGCCUCCAGAAAAUUUAGAUAGGGGUGGCCAGAUGGGGCCAAAUAAAUUUUUGGGGUGGCCCACCAGAUUGGUCCUUGUGGUAACUCUGGGAGAGUUUAGCCUGUAGCGAUGUAUUGCAUUGCUCCUAUAUUCAUUUUUAUUAAAAAAGCGGUACGUAUCCAAAACAUUUAAGUUACAUUUUACAAACACAAACAUUUCAGUUAUUUAGAAUAUUAUUCCAAAUUUAAUUUCAAAUUAAAAGGUUUUAGGGUUAUUCACCUGUUGCUGUAUUCACACAAAAAAAAACUAUGUAGAUAAAAACUUUUUUAAAACGGUGAGCAGCAGAAACAUAUGUAAUUAUUUUUUAUUCUGAUUAUUUCUUUACUUAUGAAUUGUAUUAUUUUAAUUUUGUUUUCCAAUUAUAUCUUGAGAAAACAAGAUCAAUAUAUGGUUUGACUGAACUUUAAUAUGAUUUAUUAACACUGACUUUUCCUUGGGGGGGGGGGGGGUCAGCAAUUUUCUAGGGGUGGCCUUGGCCACCCCUGGCCACCCCUUGGGGACGCCCUUGUUUAUUCCUCACAACAAAUUGUUUUCUGCAUGAUUAGAAAACAAAGAUAAAAACAAAAAAGCUGACCCAAAGUUUGCUUCAUGACAUCAUAGGAACAGAUUAUUUCAUGACGGAAGCAGGAAGUAGCCUGAUCCCCUUCAGCGUCACGAGAACAAGACACAAAUUCACACGGGAUUUCAACACCGGGUUAAAACACACUCCAGCAUUCCUAGUUGGACUCCGAUCAGCUUCUCUCCUUGUUUUCUUCCUUCGCUUCAGCAGAAGCCACUGCCACACACACACACACACACACACACACACUGACCCCGGCCAGUAGGUCUCAGCUCGUGUUGCUUUGUGACCAAACGAUGUUCGGCUGUUUUUGACCUCCGUGGAGGCGUGGCAUGUUUGUUAUGAAUUAAACCAACAUGUAAAACUUCAGAAUGUUUAAAAACCAGAACUUUGGUGAUGGAUGAGUGUGACUCUGUUCAACCGUAUCAUUAAACCAUAACCUUAGGUAUUAAACCCAUCUGAGAACCAGAUUGGGUUCCAGCAGAACCGGAUUUUAAUGUGAUUUAUCAGAUUCCACCCAUCAGGAAGUAAAACAUUUGUUUUUUUGAUUCGUUAAUAAUUAAUCAGCUGCUUGUUUUCACUCAUUUGUUAUAAUUUAACUAAAUAAUCAGGAACAUCUCAGCCUGAAGGUUACCGUUUCUGGUUGGAUCCAGCAGAGGGCGCUGUGGUCUCAUCUAAAUAAAAUCUAAAUGUUUCACAACAAAAUAUUAAAGAUCAAGUUGAAAUGGUUCUGCUAGCUUUUGGGCUGAUAAAUUGUUUUUGUCCUGAUGAUAACAAACAAACGUAGUUCGUGGAUUUAAUGAAUAAAAAACAGUUUAUUCUCUCAGUCCAGCUCAUUUAGUGUUUCAUUGAACUGCUUUUGCUUUAUUUUUAAAGGCUAAAAACUAAAAUACUGAAAGUAAAUGUAAAUAUCUAACCUCAUUUUCAGGUUUAAUUUCUAGAAAAAAGUUAUUUAAUUUAUUUUAAGUUCUGAGUUUUUAUGUAUUUUUUAAUUUUAUUUUUUAUCAGAUUUUCAUGUAACUCUGGUUCUAAAUCCACCUUUAAAUCUGAUUCAGAUCAGAUCCGCAUCAGUUUCAGCAUAAAUCAUGCCGCUACUUCCUGCUUCACCUCACAGCUUCCUGUUUCUGUCGAACUACAAAAUAAAAGACUCAUAACAACCUGAAGGAGAACAAGCAUCAGUCACUCUACUUAGGAUUUGAUGUUUAGGGUUUACUCACGCUUUGCUCUGAUUGGUAAGAACAAGAAACCACAACGACACAAAGAUUGUUUCCAUCUUUCUUUCUUUUUUGCACAUUUUGAGGUGUUUUAAUCUGUUUUUAUUAUUAUCCUUAAAACUGCCGAAUGACUUCGACCCUCAUCAACGUUUCUGACCUUUAACCUGUUUGAGUCACUCAGACAUGUGGCUUUUACUCUGAUGACAGGUUUCAGAGUUUAAUCGAACAAAAAUGGAUGAAUUCAUUUGUUUAUGAGGUGAAAACACAAAAACAUUUGAAUCCUGAUUAUAAAACUGAAUUCAUCUUGUUAGACUCGACCAAUAUUUUAAAAACUAGAAGUUUAGAAUCUUUAGCAACAAAAAGAACAUGUUUACUUAUGAUGAAAUAAAAGGAAAACAUGUGAGUGAUAAACAGCUGAUCCGUCCGACCCGUUGGCCCGUAGGUCCGAAGUCAUUCCUGCGGAUGUAAAUACCAGUGAUGUUCUGAUUCCUGCUGUUGGUGCUUUCAUAUCUGCAGCAUCUGAGUUACAAUAAAAUGUUUAUAUCAA